rnacentral:tRNA from 1 species
GCCUAGAUGGGAAAGUGGUUAAUGAUUCUGGCUGCCGUACAGAAGAGUCCGGGUUCGAAUCCCGGUGAAGGUA